rnacentral:ribozyme from 1 species
UGCCCAGCAACUCCUAUCCCUACCUCCUCGUGGUACCAGGCGAAAACUAUGAGCAAUCUUAGGGAAGAUCGGGUAACCAACCCCGGAGCAAACUUUGAUCGUAGGCUGACAGGGAAGU